rnacentral:rRNA from 1 species
GGAAGCGGAUGGGGGCGGCGAUGCGCCCCGGUCGGAUGCGGAACGGUCACAAGCCGGCCGCCGAUCGGUCGGGGCGUGGACCGACGCGGAUUGGAGGGUCGGCUGAAACCCGGGCCGUAGACGGGCUCCGGGAGCGUCGUCCCAGCGAUCGUGGAAGGCAGCGUGCGCCGUCGCGCGUGCUUGGCGCCUGCACGCUCCGGCGUCGGCCUGCGGGGCCCCCCAUUCGGCCCGUCUGGAACAGGACCAAGGAGUCUGACAUGUGUGCGAGUCAACGGCGAGUAAACCCGUGCGGCGCAAAGGAGCUGAAUUGGCGGGAUCCCCUCGCGGGCUGCGCCGCCGACCGACCUGAUCUUCUGAGAAGGUUCGAGUGAGAGCAUACCUUCGGACCCGAAGAAUGGUGAAUCUACUGCCUGAGCGGGGCGAAGCCAGAGGGAAAACAUCUGGUGGAGGCCCGAAGCGAUACUGACGGCAAAUCGUUCGUCUGACUUGGGUAUAGGUGGCGAAAAGACUAAUCGAAGCCGUCUAGUAGCUGGUUCCCUCCGAAGUUUCCCUCAGGAUAGCUGGAAGCUGGAAUGCGAGUUCUUCGGUAAAGGCCAAUGAUUAGAGGAUCGGGGCGCAACGCCCUCGACCUAUUCUCAAACUUUAAAUAGGUAGGGGAACGUCGCGGCUGCUUCGUUGAGCCGCGACACGAAAUCCGAGAGCUCCAAGUGGGCCAUUUUUGGUAAGCAGAACUGGCGAUGCGGGAUGCCGGAAGCCGGGUUAGGCGCCGACUGGCGCGCUAACUAGAUUCCCAAAGGGGUGUUGGUCGAUUAAGACAGCAGGACGGUGGUCAUGGAAAGUCGAAAAUCCGCUAAGGAGUUGUGUAACAACUCCACCUGCCGAAUCAACUAGCUCCCGAAAAUGGAUGGGCGCUUAAAGCGCGGCGACCUACAACCCGGUCCGUCGGGGCAAGUGCCAGGCCCCGAUGAGUAGGAGGGCAGCGGGCGGUCGCCGCAAAGCCUGUGGCGCGAGCCAGGCGAGCGGCCGUCCGGUGCAAGAAUCUUUGGUGGUAGUAGCAAAUAUUCAGUGAGAGAAUUUGAAGGCCGAAGAGGGGAAAGGGUUCCAAUGUGAACGGCACUUGCACAUGGGUUAGUCGAUCCUAAGAGACGGGGAAAGCCGUCCGAACAGCGCGCCAGCGCGGAGCCUUCGAAAGGGAAUCGGGUUAACAUUCCCUGAAUCCGGGCGUGGCGGCUGACGGCAACGUUAGGGAGUCCGGAGACGUCGGGCGGGGCCCUCGGGAAGAUUAAUCUUUUCUGUUAACAGCCUGCCCACCCUGGAAACGGCUCUGCCGGAGGAGGGUCCAGCGGCGGAAGAGCACCGCACGUCCGCGUGGUGUCCGGUGCGCCCCGCGGUACCCUUGAAAUCCGGAAGGACCGAGUCCGAUCCACCCCGGUCGUUUACUCAUAACGCAUCAGGUCUCCAAGGUGAACAGCCUCUGGUCGAUGGAAACAUGUAGCAAAGGGAAGUCGGCAAAAUGGAUCCGUAACUUCGGGAAAAAGGAUUGCUCUGAGGGCUGGGCACGGGGGUUCCCAGUCCGACCCGUCGCUGUCGGUUGGACUGCUCGAGCUGCCUCCGCGGCGAGAGCGGGUGGGGGGGCGCCGCGUGCCGGCCGGGGGACGGACUGGGAACGGCUCCCUCGGUGGGCGCUUCCCCGGGCGUCGAAGCAGCGAAUCAGAACUGUGUACGGACAAGUGGGAAUCCGACCUGUUUAAUUAAAACAAAGCAUUGCGAUGGUCCGUGAGGAUGCUAACGCAAUGUGAUUUCUGCCUCAGUGCUCUGAAUGUUAAAGUGAAGAAAUUCAACCAAAGCGGGUAAACCGGCGGGGUAACUAUGGACUCUCUAAGGUAGCCAAAUGCCUCGUCAUCCUAAUUAGUGACGCGCAUGAAUGGAUUAACAGAUUCCCACUGUCACCUGUCUCUUUCCCCGCUGAUUUGCAACCCGUUCCCUUGGCUGUGGUUUCGCUGGAUAGUAGACAGGGACAGUGGGAAAAUCUCGUUAAUCCAUUCAUGCGCCGUCACUAAUUAGAUACGAGGCAUUUGGCUACCUAAGAGAGUCAUAGUUUACUCCCGCGUUUACCCGCGCUUGGUUGAAUUUCUUCACUUUGACAUUCAGACAACUGGCAGAAAUCACAUUCGCGUUAGCAUCCUCAGGGACCCAUUAGCAAUGCUUUGUUUUAAUAUAAACAGUGCGGAUUCCCCUUUGUCGUACCAGUUCUGAGUCGGCUGUUCGACGCCCGGGAAGGCCCCCGAGGGAGCCUUGCUAAAUGACUUCCGUUAUUCGGCCGUUCCCAUCCGUCCCCGGCCGGCACGCGGCGAACCCGCUUCGUCGCCGCGGAGGCAGCUCGAGCAGUCCACCGACAGCCGACGGGUUCGAGACUGGGACCUCCGUGCCACCCUUCCUAAGCCAUCCUUUUCCCCGAAGUACGGAUCCAUUU